rnacentral:rRNA from 1 species
CCCGCGGCAAGACGGAAAGACCCCGUGAACCUUUACUAUAGCUUGACACUGAACAUGGAGCCUUGAUGUGUAGGAUAGGUGGGAGGCCUGGAAGUGCGGACGCCAGUCUGCAUGGAGCCAUCCUUGAAAUACCACCCUUGAAUGUUCGAUGUUCUCACUCAGGCCCGUUACCCGGGCCGGGGACAGUGUCUGGCGGGUAGUUUGACUGGGGCGGUCUCCUCCCAAAGCGUAACGGAGGAGCACGAAGGUUGGCUAAUCACGGUCGGACAUCGUGAGGUU